rnacentral:rRNA from 1 species
AUUUGACCUCAGAUCGGGUGGGACUACCCGCUGAACUUAAGCAUAUCAAUAAGCGGAGGAAAAGAAACUAACAAGGAUUCCCCUAGUAACGGCGAGUGAAGAGGGAAAAGCUCAAAUUUUGAAUCUGGUGUCUUUGGCAUCCGAGUUGUAAUCUAGAGAAGUGUUUUUUGCCUUGGACCACACAUAAAUUCCCUGGAAUGGGGUGUCAUAGAGGGUGAGAAUCCCGUUUGUGGUGUGGACUACCUUGGCUAUGUAAUACACUCUCAACGAGUCGAGUUGUUUGGGAAUGCAGCUCAAAAUGGGUGGUAAAUUCCAUCUAAAGCUAAAUACUGGCGAGAGACCGAUAGCGAACAAGUACCGUGAGGGAAAGAUGAAAAGCACUUUGGAAAGAGAGUGAAACAGUACGUGAAAUUGUUGAAAGGGAAGCGUUUGAAGUCAGUCACAUUGGUCAGAAUUCAGCCUGGCUUCUGCCUGGUUCACUUUUUGGCAAAUGGGUCAGCAUCAAUUUUGAUUGAGGGAGAAAGACUUGAGGAAUGUGGCUGUCCUUGGACAGUGUUAUAGCCUCUUGUUGUAUGUCUCAAUUGGGAUUGAGGAAUGCAGC